UAGAGUUUGAUCCUGGCUCAGGAUGAACGCUGGCGGUCUGCUUAACACAUGCAAGUCGAACGCAACCUUCGGGUUGAGUGGCGGACGGGUGAGUAACGCGUGAGAAUCUGCCUUGGGGUCGGGGACAACCACUGGAAACGGUGGCUAAUACCGGAUAAGCCUUUGGGUAAAAGAUUUAUUGCCCCAAGAGGAGCUCGCGUCUGAUUAGCUAGUUGGUGAGGUAAGAGCUCACCAAGGCAGCGAUCAGUAGCUGGUCUGAGAGGACGAUCAGCCACACUGGGACUGAGACACGGCCCAGACUCCUACGGGAGGCAGCAGUGGGGAAUUUUCCGCAAUGGGCGAAAGCCUGACGGAGCAAGACCGCGUGAGGGAGGAAGGCUCUUGGGUUGUAAACCUCUUUUUCUCAGGGAAGAAGCUCUGACGGUACCUGAGGAAUCAGCCUCGGCUAACUCCGUGCCAGCAGCCGCGGUAAUACGGAGGAGGCAAGCGUUAUCCGGAAUUAUUGGGCGUAAAGCGUCCGCAGGUGGCGGAUUCAAGUCUGCUGUCAAAGCACGGGG
rnacentral:rRNA from 1 species